GCCGGGCGUGGUGGCGAGUGCCUGUAGUCCCAGCUACUCAGGAGGCUGAGGUGGGAGGAUCACUUGAGCCCAGGAGUUCUGGGCUGUAGUGUGCUAUGCCAAUUGGGUGUCCGCACUAAGUUUGGCAUCAAUAUGGUGACCUCCUGGGAGCAGGGGACCACCAGGUUGCCUAAGGAGGGGUGAACCAGCCUAGGUCAGAAACGGAGCAGGUCAAAACUCCUGUGCUCAUCAGUAGUGUGAUCUUGCCUGUGAAUAGCCACUGCACUCCAGCCUGGACAACAUAGCGAGACCCCGUCUCU
rnacentral:SRP_RNA from 1 species